rnacentral:rRNA from 1 species
CAGUCGCCACGGUAAAACGUAGGUGGCAAGCGUUAUCCGGAAUUAUUGGGCGUAAAGCGCGCGUAGGCGGUUUUUUAAGUCUGAUGUGAAAGCCCACGGCUCAACCGUGGAGGGUCAUUGGAAACUGGAAAACUUGAGUGCAGAAGAGGAAAGUGGAAUUCCAUGUGUAGCGGUGAAAUGCGCAGAGAUAUGGAGGAACACCAGUGGCGAAGGCGACUUUCUGGUCUGUAACUGACGCUGAUGUGCGAAAGCGUGGGGAUCAAACAGGAUUAGAUACCCCGCUAGUCCCUGUCUCUUAUAU